AACGCACCUUGCGCUCUUUGGUAUUCCGAAGAGCAUGCCUGUUUGAGUGUCAUGAAAAUAUCAACCUUGACUUGGGUUUAGUGCUCUUGUCUUGGCUUGGAUUUGGCUGUUUGCCGCUCGAAAGAGUCGGCUCAGCUUAAAUGUAUUAGCUGGAUCUGUCUUUGAGACUUGGUUUGACUUGGCGUAAUAAGUAUUUCGCUAAGGACAUUCUUCGGAGUGGCCUCGUUUCUAGGACGCUUGUCCGCUUUCCAAUACAAGUUCCACCUCGUGGACAUGACUUUUUAUUAUCUGGCCUCAAAUCAGGUAGGACUACCCGCUGAACUUAA
rnacentral:misc_RNA from 1 species